GAUGAACGCUGGCGGCGUGCCUAAUACAUGCAAGUCGAGCGAACAGAUGAGGAGCUUGCUCCUCCGACGUUAGCGGCGGACGGGUGAGUAACACGUGGAUAACCUACCUAUAAGACUGGGAUAACUUCGGGAAACCGGAGCUAAUACCGGAUAAUAUAUUGAACCGCAUGGUUCAAUAGUGAAAGACGGUUUUGCUGUCACUUAUAGAUGGAUCCGCGCCGCAUUAGCUAGUUGGUAAGGUAACGGCUUACCAAGGCAACGAUGCGUAGCCGACCUGAGAGGGUGAUCGGCCACACUGGAACUGAGACACGGUCCAGACUCCUACGGGAGGCAGCAGUAGGGAAUCUUCCGCAAUGGGCGAAAGCUUGACGGAGCAACGCCGCGUGAGUGAUGAAGGUCUUCGGAUCGUAAAACUCUGUUAUUAGGGAAGAACAAAUGUGUAAGUAACUAUGCACGUCUUGACGGUACCUAAUCAGAAAGCCACGGCUAACUACGUG
rnacentral:rRNA from 1 species